CCUGGUCACCGUACCUGAUCGCCUCGCUGCCGGAUUGUGCUGUGUGCUCAGCUCGCUGCUCCUGGUAUGUUAAUCACAUACUUUAUUGUAUCGCUUUAAAAGUUUUGCGGUUGCCGUCAGGGUUGGCUUUUGUCUCCAACAGUUCCUCACUGGGUCUUCUCUCUCCUGCAUUGAACCGAUUGCGGGACCCAGAGUGUGUGUUCCCGCAUCCCCACACAGCUGGGGGUGAUCAGCUGAGUGGCCUCUGAUUGUUCUGUGGCGCUGCGGGUGCCUCGUUCCCUCGCCCUCGUGAGGUUCAUUCAACUUUCUGAUGGUAUGUGUUUAAAUGACUGCAACUCAAGCUAUCAUUAUUAAGCCGUGGUGCUAAAUUAUAGUUUUCUCACAUUAGGUUUUGUGUGUGUGAGCCGAUCGGGCUGCCCUAAACUCUCCUCCCUCCUCUCGGGCCGCUAUCGGCUGUGCUGCUGUUUUGCUUCUGUGCUGCUGGUCUGCUUCUAUGCUGCUCGAUGUGGUUGUUUCCACUACCACUGCUGCCUGCUCUACUGUACUCCUGUCUCAUCGCCUUUGGUAAGGCUGUCACUAUCGCCAUCUAACUUUGAUUCGAUGGCGCUCUGCUUCAUGUGAGGUGACGCCAACACCCUUGGGACUAAGUUUUUUUUUUUGGUAACCUGUUGCCUCAGCUUCCUCAUUUUGUUGGCAUUUAGUCUAUUAUGGUUUAAAUCAUUUGUUAUUAUUUUGUGAUUUGAGUGUUUUGUGUUUUUGUUUCUCCAGUUUGAGUACUUUGUUUUGUUAGUUACUAGUGUUUGAUUUAUUUGCAUGUUUGUUUGGUUUGGUCAUUUCUAAAUAUUUUGAGUUAUUUUUCUUUUUUUUGCUUGCUAGUUUUCCUUUUUUGGUAUUUGUGAUUUAUUUCUGAUUUAACCAGAAUUUGCUAUUUGCACAUCAAUUUUAUAGGCAACAUUGCUGUUUUAGUUAAGAGAAGUGUGUGUGUUUGUGUGUGAAUGAGUGUGGAUGAAUGGGUAAAAAAUAUUUUAUUAAUCUUGUUUAUUGAUGAAAAUUGUCAAAUAAAAUUCAAAAGUAUUUGUGCACUGGAC